rnacentral:rRNA from 1 species
AGAGGGUGCGAGCGUUAAUCGGGAAUUACUGGGCGUAAAGCGCACGUAGAUGGCUUUGUAAGUCGGAUGUGAAAGCCCCGGGGCUUAACCUGGGGAACGGCAUUCGAAACUGCAUUGCUCGAAUGUGGAAGAGGGAAGCGGAAUUCCAGGUGUAGCGGUGAAAUGCGUAGAUAUCUGGAGGAACAUCAGUGGCGAAGGCGGCUUCCUGGUCCAACAUUGACAUUCAGGUGCGAAAGCGUGGGGAGCAAACAGGAUUAGAUACCCUGGUAGUCCACGCCAUAAACGAUGAGAACUAGAUGUCGGGUGGGUUAGCCAUCCGGUGUCGCAGCUAACGCGUUAAGUUCUCCGCCUGGGGAGUACGGCCGCAAGGUUG